GUUCCGAAUCGCUUAUACCCUAGGAACAAGGAACAAUUGUCGAAUGCAGGGCAAAAUUGACCACGUUGGUUACAUAAUGGGCCUCCUCGUGCUUCGUCAAAUGGUGGGCAGUGCGAGUAUUUAGAUGAGUUGACUCCAAUUGGCGUACGUACCGUGAGAAUCCAGUAUCUAGCGCGUGGACCAUGUGUGAACCGACCGGACGGGGAAGAAAAAUGGGUGAACUAAUCAUGCAAAUUGGGCACAAUGUUAUGUAAUUCUGGUCUAUCUUCAGCCAUCCGCCCGUUGGAAUCUCGAACACAGACGUCCAGUUAUAAUAGCUUGCAUUUGGAGCAAUUAACGGCAUCUCCAUCGAAAUUAGUUUGACGUCGAGAUUCUCGAGCAGCCCCAUAAUGGCCUCGAUACGCCAUAGGCCAUCUGGCACGAUCUCUAAAAGAUCUAUAUCUAUAUCAUAUACCGAUCGAGGAUCGAUCAGCGGAAUGUCUAGAUGGCCUGGACGCCGAACGAUCAGCCGAUUUUAUUCGAAACUCCAUGGAGUGAUGGAGGUAAGAAUCUUACGGGCGAUAAGGCACACAUUAAUUGAAGAAUAACAUCCGGCAUGGAGCUGGUGGCAGACCGUCGUGACAUCAUUGUUUACAACCGAACGAAAAUGGAAUUAAACGAAUCACCCAAUGACCAACCUAUUCAAGAGCGAAAGGGGUAAUUUUAGAGUGAUAACAUUAACGAGAAUUAGUCGGCUGUGUCGAUAAUUUCAAAAGAAUUCGAUUCAUGGUGACCUAUUUUCUUCAAAUGUUUAGUAAUCAAACAGGAAUUGAUACUUAAAAAAACGUUCUCCGUGGUAUGUAUAUUUUUGAUAUAAUUCUUUAAUAGUGAAGAAUGCGUAGAAUGUUUAUCAAAUUAAAGCAUU